UGUCUCCUCUGUGUCUGCUGCAACCUCAGCUCUACCUGAUCCAUUUUGAACAGCUGAAUUCCAGGGAUGUUAGACGCUUUCUUCCAGGCUCUGUUCAUCAUGGCAUCAGGAUUGAGGGUGAGAGGAAAUGUCUUAUGUUCUACCUGCCGAAGCUGUUCAUUGUAGGUCUUCUGUGGCUCUCAGCGGUUACACUGGGUAUAUGGCAAACGGUUAAUGAGCUCCAAGACCCUACAUUACACAUGGCCAGAGUCUAACUAAUGAGGUAACUCCAGUGAGCAAAGAACUCAGGCUUCAGACCUCCCUGAACACUCUGUUUCUGACCAGUGUUUUAUAGUCUGGUUACAAUAUGACAUCAUAGUGUGACAGAUUUAUUUAUAUGGUCAUCUGCUCCAGGAACAUUACUGCAAGUGUUUACAUUACCUAGCCUACACUGUUACACGUAGCUACAUGCUAACGUCAGGGAAGCAUGUAAUCUUGGUUGUCAUCAUUGUCGCUGCAAGAGACGCUGAGAUUCGGAAGACCUGGAAAUGCUUAGCAAGCAAAGCACGCUGGGCUUUUUCGGGACGGGGCUAAAACAGAGAGAUUCAGUCAGAGGGUGAUUACAGAUGUUCCAGUACAGACAGUAUGAGGAAAAUAUAGUGUUUUAUGAACAUUAAGUGUGUAAACAUGUCAUACUAGAAACCUUAAAUACAAAUAUGAACCUGAAAAUGAGCACAAUAGGGCCCCUUGAAGUAUACCAUGUGAGAUAGCAUGUUGAAGUCUUAAAUGGUGAGAAAUUAUUCCUUAACUUCAGACAUACCAGCUGAAUUCUUAUCAUUCUACGGUCUGCUCAACUUAUAACUGUACACAUUGGCAUUUGUGUAUUCCCCUUCCAAAAAUGCACUGUAUGACUCCCAUUUGAAGCAUAAUCCUGCUUUCUCCAUGCUGAACGACUCAGAUGAUGAAGUAAUAUACGGGAGUGAUUAUGAAGACAUGCCUUUACAAAACGGACGUGCUAUCAAAGCAACCACCAGGUACCAGGAUGAGAGUGACAGCGACUGAUGGGAUUUCUGACCAGCUUGUACCUCUUGUGCGUCCCUGCUGGAAGCUAUGAGAGUACAAUACAACAAACUAUCAUGUGUAUGUGUAAAUAACUUGCAAUGGUAUUACAAAAAUGACAUACUGUAAGUGUACAUAACUAUAUUUUUAAGAAAAGUUCCAUGUCUACUGAAUGUACUGUACUUUUACUGAAAGUUGGGGCAUGUAGCCACUCAGACUUUUUCCUUCAUUGUUUAUUCUUUCAGUCUCAUUGAAAACAAAGGAAACAAACACAUGUGUAAAACAGUACAAUUUUUACCAGUUUGUAAACUUUUUUCCUCGUGACCAGCAUUUCUUAACAACCUAUUAGUUAGAGAUGAUGAUUUUUUUUUGUUGAAUCAAUGUUAUUUUUAAUGCUUUGCGUUGAACCACUGUUGUGUCUCUUUACCUGCGCUGUGUUGUUUUUGCCAUUCCUUUCUGCUCUCUGAUAGUCUGACAAUAAUGAGAAUGUGUAUCUGGCCAAAGCUGAUUAACAUUAUACUGGUAGUAGGAAGUAAAGGAAGCUACAUGCUGCAGCCUUAAGUGCACUCUGGUGGUUCACACUAUGGCUUGCAAGCACUGACAUGAGUGAUAAAUAGGGAAUUAAAGUGCCAUAGCAGUGUUGGCUGUCGACAAAUUCUCUUUGGCCUCAGACGUGUGUUAAAAAACUCCAGAGAGAGCCUUAGCUGGAGUAGGUGCCACUUAUCUCUGACCACUCCUCUUGACAAUUCUUCCCUUUGAGAGCAGCUUUGUAAUUGCAUUUGUUUAAGAGUUUAAUUUAUUCACUGGUAAGUGACGAUGUUUGAUAGUGUAUUAUCUGACGACGUGAAUGGAUUUUAAUGAAUUGCAUGGAUUUUACACAACUUAAUGUAAAUGGACUACUGAUUUGUCACAUUCUUUCUCCCUGCACAUACAGUAAUUAUACCAUUGGCCAAAUAUAUUUUGCCUUAUGUAGAGCAUAUUAUUUUAAGUAGUUGUUUUUUUCCUCACGUAACUUUCCAUACCUUGCCUACAAUGUGAGACUUUUUUAUAAACCUGGAGUUAUGGACAAAAACAGCCAAACAAAUGUGUUUCCGUUCCUUACAAAUAAUAUCCUAACGUAUUCUAAUCAAGAUGGUGCCUUGUCUUUACAUUUCUUAUUACUGGGCUGCGGUCUCAAAUUUGUAAAUGCUUUGAGAUUAAUGUACAUUUUUGAUUCUUUCAGUGUGAAUGUAGUUUACGGUGGUUAAAUGAGGUUGUUAUGGGUCCCGAUAUGUUGGGAGUUCUUUGCAAUUUGUGUUGCUUAGUGAUAUAAAAGCUGUACAUGUAGCACUCUUGUCAUGUCUCAUGUAAAUAAAGCAAAGUAUAUCCAGCA